rnacentral:rRNA from 1 species
CACGUAGGCGCAAGCGUUGUCCGGAAUUAUUGGGCGUAAAGAGCUCGUAGGCGGUCUGUUACGUCUGCUGUGAAAACCCGGGGCUUAACCCUGGGCUUGCAGUGGAUACGGGCAGACUAGAGGCAGGUAGGGGAGAAUGGAAUUCCCGGUGUAGCGGUGAAAUGCGCAGAUAUCAGGAGGAACACCGGUGGCGAAGCGGGUCGUCUGGCGGCAUACUGACGCUGAGGAGCGAAAGCGUGGGGAGCGAACAGG